rnacentral:rRNA from 1 species
CCUACGGGGGGCUGCAGUGGGGAAUAUUGGACAAUGGGGGGAACCCUGAUCCAGCCAUGCCGCGUGUGUGAAGAAGGCCCUCGGGUUGUAAAGCACUUUCAGUGAGGAAGAACGCCUGGUGGUUAAUACCCAUCAGGAAAGACAUCACUCACAGAAGAAGCACCGGCUAACUCCGUGCCAGCAGCCGCGGUAAUACGGAGGGUGCGAGCGUUAAUCGGAAUUACUGGGCGUAAAGCGCGCGUAGGUGGCUUGAUAAGCCGGUUGUGAAAGCCCCGGGCUCAACCUGGGAACGGCAUCCGGAACUGUCAAGCUAGAGUGCAGGAGAGGAAGGUAGAAUUCCCGGUGUAGCGGUGAAAUGCGUAGAGAUCGGGAGGAAUACCAGUGGCGAAGGCGGCUUUCUGGACUGACACUGACACUGAGGUGCGAAAGCGUGGGUAGCAAACAGGAUUAGAUACCCUUGUAGUC